UACGAAGGGGGCUAGCGUUGCUCGGAAUCACUGGGCGUAAAGCGCACGUAGGCGGAUUUCUAAGUCAGGGGUGAAAUCCUGGAGCUCAACUCCAGAACUGCCUUUGAUACUGAAGAUCUUGAGUUCGGGAGAGGUAAGUGGAACUGCGAGUGUAGAGGUGAAAUUCGUAGAUAUUCGCAAGAACACCAGUGGCGAAGGCGGCUCACUGGCCCGAUACUGACGCUGAGGCACGAAAGCGUGGGGAGCAAACAGG
rnacentral:rRNA from 1 species